rnacentral:rRNA from 1 species
CAACUCUUCUGAAGUUGACCUCGAAUCAGGUAGGAA